GUGAGAAGCCCCGUUCAGACACAGGCUAGCACGCUGGAAGAGAAGGGUUAGCUGGCCCAGCCGUAGCGUGGGCUUCAGCAUACGUUCAGAUGUGUGACCCGUGUGCCUGCCUUGCAGCACUUGGGUCCCUCCAAAACAAGGCAGAGAAGCAGCAUGUGAAACGAGAGGACCUGAGCGAUGAGGAAAUCCUCACCUGACCAGAGGUUCCCUAGAAGAGGCCACCCGAGGAGGUCGUGCCCACCCCACAGGGAGCCUCGCCCCCAUGAUUUCAGACCCGUUCCACACACCCCUGACUUCCCCAGGGGUGACGAGGGCCAGGGCUGGGUACCCCAUGACCAUCUGGAGCUGGCCAGAUGGGAUUAUGAGCAGGGGGAGUGCGCAGAUGAGUGGUGUUUGAACGUGACCCCCGAUCAGCACUGCCUGAAGCCUCGCAUGCACAAUGCGUCCCUGCACCCGAUGGAGGAGUAUUGUCACAUGGACGCAGUGCUGGGAGACCAAGGGGCUGCCUGCUUUCCUCCAAGCUAUCGGGGCCGUGGCUGGAAACCUCGCUGGGGCCGGGGCCGGGGCCGGGGUCGGAGCCGGGGCCGUGGCAGUGGCAGCCGAGGGAAAUUCUCUUCUCAAUACCACAGCUUUGCACCCUGCAGAGAAAAGUUCAAGUCCUCCAGGCUGUCGGAUUCCUACUCCACAAAGAAUCUCAGAGUGAUCCAGCUGGAGCCCGUACAGGAGACCAGCAAGCAUCCCAGCCAGGCCAGCUCUACCACAGAAGCUGACCACCCCUCAUCUGAGGCCGCUGAGCCGCUUGAUCCCAUAAGGCCGGAGGAAACCGAGCUGGUCCAGCUGGGAGCCGGUCUGGAGGCUGCAGACUGUCACAGCCAGGCCUGGUCUUCUCUGGCAACUGAGCCAGUCCCGAUGGAAGAUCCCCAUUUCUUGCAGGGGGAGGAAAUCAAGCUGGUCCAGCUGGAUGUCGGCUGCCAGGCCACAGAGAAUAGCAGCCAACCUGCCUUUGAUGUGCUUCCUGAGCCCUCCACCCCACCGGAGACCACAGAGGACCUGUGUCCUGUGAAGCUAGAAGGAAUGGACUUGCAUCUCCCGCUGCAGCUGGAAGCAAGCCAUCUGGCCGUGGAUCAUCCCAUCCAGGCUACAUCUGCUCUAGCUACCGAACCCCCAGCCCUGCCUGACACCACAGAGGAUCUGCAUCUGCUGAGAAUGGAAGAGACUGAGAUGGACCAGCUGGGCACCAGUCUGGAGUCUGCCAACUACCAGCCCCAGGGCUCUGUUGCUGUGUUCACGCCGCCCCCGAGCACUGAGGACCGUCGCUCUGCAGCUAUACUGGCCAGGAAGGAAGAGAUCGAGCUGUCCUACCAGCAGUUCAGUCUUACCAUCGCAGUGGUGGCCACCAUGCUGCUGCAGAAGGAGCCCUCCAUGGAGGCGGCAAUGGGCUCGGCCCUGCGUGCCAACCUACAGCAGAUCAGGGGCCAUUACCUGCAGGAGCUGGAGAAUUUCAUUGACAGCUACGACUCGGCCGCCACCAGCUCGUGAGACACCGCAUGGCUGGAGACACCUGUCCUUGGCUCUGGACCAGGUCAAGGGAGUGGUGCCUGCUGAAGGCUGAGGCCAGCCAGAUGCUUCUGUCAGCAGCAAUGGAGGGACCUGCUGGGGUUGUAUGAGCAGCCAGCUGGCACAGACUGAGGGAGAAGGGCUCAGGGGCCUCGGUAUUGCUCUACAUUGGGCAGUGGGGUCUGGUCCUGAAAUGGGAAAGGGACUUCUGGCUGGGGGGCGACCGCUCUGAGGAGCUGCAGCCACGGGGUUGAAGGGCAUGGGAAGGAACUGGGGCAGGAGCACUGUUGGUGCGGGGUUGUUGUGGAAGCAAAAUUCCUGGACUCCUGGCAGUUUUUGCCAGCCUGGGGCUGGGUUGCAGCCUCAUGGCUUUACCUGGGUUCUGGGCAGGGAACCCUACACAGGGCCUGGCAGCGGGCCUGGGGCUUGUGCAGUUUUAUUAGUGGAGAAAAAUAAAACAGCAGGUGAAAUUCCCCGUCCCCA
ensembl:lncRNA uncharacterized LOC109317778